UCCCCUCCUGGCGCCGCCACCAUCUUCCUCUUGUUCUCUUCUUCCUCUUCACGUAAAGCCAGAGAAAAGAAGCGAAGCCAUGGCUGCCUCACACAAACAUCAACCGUGCCGUCUACUCCGACCACCCCUCGCCGAGCUGACACCACCAGAAGAACCGCACCGUCGCCCUCUCCAUCCUCCCCAAAGGAAUCGAGCCGGGGCAUCUCCAAUCACCACCAAAUUCGCCGAUUCCACCUCCGGCCGGCCGACGAAUUCUUUCGAUUCCGACCGUCUCAGUCAGUCUCUGGCCUCCCCGACAGCUCCGUGACCUUCCUGGUGCUCGUCACCGGCGGCACUCCGUCCAGUUGCCGGCGCUUCCUCCGCCCGUUCCUGGUUCCCCACGUCCAGGCGCACCACCGGCGACACCUUCCUCGACCUUGUUCGUUCGUGGACGUCGAAUCCACCCCCGACCUGAGCUUCCCCGUCAUGGCGUAGGGAGAAAUACAAUCCAGCAGCCCAAGUUCGAAUCCCAUCUGCUCCUUUUUGGUUUUUCAGCUGUAUGUGCGUCAGCCCACCGGACUGAGAUCCAUUUCAAAGAAUCCGGCGCAUCAAACCUAUCACCCUACAAAGUGUAGCCCAUCUGCAUUUGCUUCUUCCCGAAUAGGAUCGCGAAGUGGUGUGGUGAGAUA